CCUACGGGAGUCAGCAGUGGGGUAUAUUGCACAAUGGGGGAAACCCUGAUGCAGCGACGCCGCGUGAGUGAAGAAGUAAUUCGUUAUGUAAAGCUCUAUCAGCAGGGAAGAAAAUGACGGUACCUGAGUAAGAAGCCCCGGCUAACUACGUGCCAGCAGCCGCGGUAAUACGUAGGGGGCAAGCGUUAUCCGGAUUUACUGGGUGUAAAGGGAGCGUAGACGGCAGUGCAAGUCUGGAGUGAAAGGCGGGGGCUCAACCCCCGGACUGCUCUGGAAACUGUACGGCUGGAGUGCGGGAGAGGUAAGUGGAAUUCCUAGUGUAGCGGUGAAAUGCGUAGAUAUUAGGAGGAACACCAGUGGCGAAGGCGGCUUACUGGACUGUAACUGACGUUGAGGCUCGAAAGCGUGGGGAGCAAACAGGAUUAGAUACCCCAGUAGUC
rnacentral:rRNA from 1 species